rnacentral:rRNA from 1 species
CCUGAUGGAGGGGGAUAACUACUGGAAACGAUGAUGCUGUAGUGUAGCUAAUACCGCAUAAUGUCGCAAGACCAAAGAGGGGGACCUUCGGGCCUCUUGCCAUCAGAUGUGCCCAGAUGGGAUUAGCUAGUAGGUGGGGUAACGGCUCACCUAGGCGACGAUCCCUAGCUGGUCUGAGAGGAUGACCAGCCACACUGGAACUGAGACACGGUCCAGACUCCUACGGGAGAUGCCAGUGGGGAAUAUUGCACAAUGGGCGCAAGCCUGAUGCAGCCAUGCCGCGUGUAUGAAAAAGGCCUUCGGGUUGUAAAGUACUUUCAGCGGGGAGGAAGGCGUUGAGGUUAAUAACCUCACCGAUUGACGUUACCCGCAGAAAAAACACCGGCUAACUCCGUGCCAGCAGCCGCGGUAAUACGGAGGGUGCAAGCGUUAAUCGGAAUUACUGGGCGUAAAGCGCACGCAGGCGGUCUGUUAGCUGCGAUGUGAAAUCCCCGGGCUCAACCUGGGAACUGCAUUCUAAACUGGCAGGCUAGAGUCUUGUAGAGGGGGGGUAGAAUUCCAGGUGUAKCGGUGAAAUGCGUAKAGAUCUGGAGGAAUACCGGUGGCGAAGGCGGCCCCCUGGACAAAGAAUGACGCUCAGGUGCGAAAGCGUGGGGAGCAAAACAGGAUUAGAUACCCUGGUAGUCCACGCCGUAAACGAUGUCGACUUGGAGGUUGUGCCCCUUGAGGCGUGGCUUCCGGAGCUAACGCGUUAAGUCGACCGAUCGUGGAGUACGGCCGCAAGGUUAAAACUCAAAUGAAUUGACGGGGGCCCGCACAAGCGGUGGAGCAUGUGGUUUAAUUCGAUGCAACGCGAAGAACCUUACCUACUCUUGACAUCCAGAGAACUUUCCAGAGAUGGAUUGGUGCCUUCGGGAACUCUGAGACAGGUGCUGCAUGGCUGUCGUCAGCUCGUGUUGUGAAAUGUUGGGUUAAGUCCCGCAACGAGCGCAACCCUUAUCCUUUGUUGCCAGCGGUCCGGCCGGGAACUCAAAGGAGACUGCCAGUGAUAAACUGGAGGAAGGUAUCGGUGACGUCAAGUCAUCAUGGCCCUUACGAGUAGGGCUACACACGUGCUACAAUGGCGCAUACUAGGAGAAGCGACCUCGCGAGAGCAAGCGGACCUCAUAAAGUGCGUCGUAGUCCGGAUUGGAGUCUGCAACUCGACUCCAUGAAGUCGGAAUCGCUAGUAAUUAGUCGUCGUAGAUCAGAAUGC